rnacentral:rRNA from 1 species
AGAAUCAACGCUGGCGGCGUGCCUAACACAUGCAAGUCGAACGAGAAAGGGGAGCAAUCCCUGAGUAAAGUGGCGCACGGGUGAGUAACACGUGACUAACCUACCCUGGAGUGGGGGAUAACUGAGGGAAACCUUAGCUAAUACCGCAUAAUACCUACGGGUCAAAGGAGCAAUUCGCUUUGGGAGGGGGUCGCGGCCGAUUAGUUAGUUGGCGGGGUAAUGGCCCACCAAGACAGUGAUCGGUAUCC